rnacentral:rRNA from 1 species
GAAAAAAAGUAAUAUAUACACAAAAAAAAAUAAAAAUAAAAAUAAAAAAUAAAAAAUAAAAAUGU